rnacentral:rRNA from 1 species
AGUAAACGCUGGCGGUAGGCCUAACACAUGCAAGUCGAACGGCAGCACAGUAAGAGCUUGCUCUUACGGGUGGCGAGUGGCGGACGGGUGAGGAAUACAUCGGAAUCUACUUUUUCGUGGGGGAUAACGUAGGGAAACUUACGCUAAUACCGCAUACGACCUACGGGUGAAAGCAGGGGAUCUUCGGACCUUGCGCGAUUGAAUGAGCCGAUGUCGGAUUAGCUAGUUGGCGGGGUAAAGGCCCACCAAGGCGACGAUCCGUAGCUGGUCUGAGAGGAUGAUCAGCCACACUGGAACUGAGACACGGUCCAGACUCCUACGGGAGGCAGCAGUGGGGAAUAUUGGACAAUGGGCGCAAGCCUGAUCCAACCAUACCGCGUGGGUGAAGAAGGCCUUCGGGUUGUAAAGCCCUUUUGUUGGGAAAGAAAAGCAGCAGGUUAAUACCCCGCUGUUCUGACGGUACCCAAAGAAUAAGCACCGGCUAACUUCGUG